UAUGCCGUCAAUUUUCUCGUUUGGAGUGUUUCACAUUGCUUAUGUCCAGGUCUAUAAUAACUGACUUUACAGUUUGUGUUUUUUUCAUUGUUAAAGGCUGACAUUGGCCUAUCAUUACUUUUAUCUUCGUUUUUUUUUUUUAUCUCUAUCGGAUAGUUGUAGCAUUUGCAAUCAAUCAUAUCACAUUUUAAUUUAAUGCAUGUGGAAUAUUUAAUGAAUAUACUUAUCUUUUUCCCUUAUCUCACAUACGACUACAUACCCUAUGGUUUACAUUUUUUGUUGAAUCAUGUUUUAUAAUUUUUUUUUGUAUCAUGUUUUUGAAGCGUGUCGACCAUGUCAUAAUAUAGUUUCACUGCAGUCAUACUGGUAACAGGGAUAUAUAGUUUUUAUCGGUUGUGAAUAUAAUUUAUUAAGUUACUAGCUUAUUUAAACUAUAACAUCAUGAUGAAAUACAGUGUUUGUGUUUUUAUUAAGUUGCUCAUUUUCGUUUGCUUCAUCAGUAGAGGGCUUCAAAACAAGAUAAUCUAUUCAAUUUAUGGUUCAAUUAAAGAAAUAAACUUGCUCAAUGGAGAAGUAUCAACUUUAGUAUCCAAUCUGCAGAGUAAUAUAUAUUCCUUAGACUAUGAUUAUAAAACUGGAUAUAUUUUUUUCCCGAGGCAUAAUAAAGACGAUAUUUUGAGGUUUCGUUAUCCAUCUGAUACAGCUUAUAGCACUAAAUUGGUAAUAAGUGCAAGGGAACCAAUAGCUCUGGUUAUUGACCCGCUAUUGAAUCAUGUGUAUUGGACAGAAAUAUACCAACAAAAGAUCUAUAGAUGUAAUUUUGAUGGGACAAAUAAGAACUUCAUUCUGCAAGAUGAUCAACUAUAUGCUAUUACAUUAGAUUACGUAAACAGAUGGCUGUAUUAUAGUACAAAGACAAAUAAAAUAAAAAGAUCAAGAUUAAAUGUUGCUGACAAAACGACCAUUAAAGAAUUGGUAGAUGUAACUGGUUUGGGUAUAGAUGCUAACAAAAAACGACUGUAUUGGAUGGAAUAUCAAAAAGGUGAUUUGGAAUCUUCCGAUCUAAAUGGAACAAAUGCUAUCAAAGUUGUCAGCACGAAUAAAACGAGAACAAACAUAGGCAUCUAUGUUUAUGGUAGCAAAAUAUAUUGCUCAAAUGGUAAUCAAAUAUUAAAGGUCAAAGUAUCACCAGUUACAAUGGCAGAGGUCGUACACACAGAUACAGAGAAAAUUCAUGGUGUACUUUAUUAUGAUGGUAAGGAUAUACUUAUUGGAAGAAAAGGGUAAAGAUAAAUUAUCUGACAUAUUCGUAUACUGUUUAUAUUUUUUCAGUCAAUUAAGAUAAAAUCACAUGAACGGUACCAAUUGUUCUGCACAAGAUGCGCAUUUCCACAAUUCAUGAGCUGUGUCAGAUAGAAAUCGACCUUAUGCAAAUGAUUAUCAAUAUAUAUAUAUUAACCUUUUUCGGGUUGAAAAAAAUCUAUAUGCAAAAUUUGUAACUGUUUGAAAAUUUAGUCGAUAUAAAAAACCUACAAAAUAGACCAAAUCAUCUUUUAUUUCGUAUUUGAAUGUUUCAAAAUCAAUCAAAGUAUGAUACAUGUACAUGUAUAAGUGUAUUUGUCAAUUUCUAUCCGAUGCAGCUCACAUGUCACAUGAUAGUAUGGCCGAAAUAUUUGAAAAAAUCAAAACCUAAUGAAAAAAAAAAUGAAGAGCCUAUACAUUAUAAACCAAAAAGAACAAAAGGUAAAGGCACAGCCGGGCAAGGAAUCAGAGCUUAUAAUGAGAGGAUUAUCAGUCCAAUAAACAUGUGGAUAUUUCUUAACGAAUCAAUUCAUAAUUGAUUUGCAAUGUUUUUUAAUUGGAUUAUUUAAAAUGCAAUAUGUGUAAAUAAUGACUUGUUAAGAAGAAUGAAUAAGUUUGUACAAAUGUAUGUUAGUCUGUAAAUGAGAAAAUUACAUGCAUACAAACAAUGUAUAUUGCACAAUACGGAUGAAUUGUACACGUAAUUUGACAAAUAAAAAUGUUUGCAAUAAAUGUUUAAAUUAUUGACCUAAAUAUGUUAUGCAUAAUUUUAUCAUAUAUGUAAUCUAUAUAUUUUCAUCUGCAACUUUUAUUUGUCAUUAGUUGACGAUGUUUAACCUUUUUGUUUGGGUCUUUGUCUAAAGAUUGUGAAAUAGUUAUGUACUGCUUGUACGUGUAUGCAGCCAUAUAAUCAAUGUUAUCUCGUAGCUGUUAAUUCGCUUUAAAUUAACGAAACGUACAUGUUAACUAACUCUAUUAUCUAGCUUAAUAAAUGCAAUACUGUUGGUUCAUUUUAUUUCGUGGUAACCAAUUUUCGUGGAUUGAGGAAAACUUGCAUUUUCGUGUAUAUCUAAUGUCAUUGUUAAUGCUAAGUCUGCAAACAUUCCUUUAGAAAAAAUUGUAAUUCGUUGAACAUUUUAAUUCGUGGUUCCCAUGUGAAAACGAAAUCCACGAAAAUUGGUUUCCAACGAAUAUUAAUGAAUUCACAAUAACAGAUGUUUAUGAUAUGAGAGAGCAGUCUUUUAUUGACGUAACCAUUUGGAUAUCAGCUAUGAGUAAUCAAUAAUAAAAAAAACCUAGACAAAACAAUAGUACAAACGAAUAAACGUAUCCUACUUUGUAGGCUUACAGAGGGAUGCAUAUAGUUCGUUCUACCUCAUAAUCACGAGUUUUUAAUUGUAUUUACUAAUAAUGUUUCAAUCGAUAAAUAUUCAAGGUUUAUGUUAAUACAAGUUUGUAAUACAUUUAGAAAAGAGGGGCGAAAGAUACCAGAGGGACAUUAAAACUCAAAAAUCGAAAAUAAACUGACAACGCCAUGGCUAAAAAAGAAAAAUAACAAACACACAAAUAAUAGUACACAAAACACAACACAGAAAACUAAAGACUAAGCAACACGAACUCAACCAAAUACUAGGGGUGAUCUUAGGUGAUCCGGAAGGGUAAGCAGAUUCUGCUCCACAAAUGGCACCCGUCGUGUUGCUCAUGUUAGUACAAACCCGAUAGCUAGUUUAAUUCGAUAGGUCAUAGAAAUAUCGUGUUUGCCCCUCUUUCCAUACAGAUUUGAACUACAUACAUUCACACAACCUUAUUUCAUUCAUUAAAACGACAUAAGUGACAUGUCACAUUGUAUAUUAUGAUUAAGAUGUUUUCUAAAUACUUUAUGACAUGUUUACAUCAUGUCUAUAUUAUACGAUGUGUUAUUGGUUUUUAAUGUUUAGUUUGACUAAUUUGAUAAUGUCAUAUUUGAAAUAAAACUUGAACUCACUUUUGCUUUUUUCGAAUAAUAUUUUCAUGAAAACAAAGUAUCCCUUCUAUGAACAAAUGAUUUUCAAAUCAAUGACCAUUAUCUCAUGAAUUAAUUGAUAUUUGAUUAAACAUGUCUCUAAAUUUGCACAUAUUAGCAUGUUGAGUUUGAUUAUACAUAUGUUUUAUAUAUCUAAUUUCAACCUAACGAAUUGAUUUAUGUUAUCCUUUUUCAUUUAAAGAAAUGUUUAAAACGUCUAUAUAUGAGGUAUUUACAAACAUAACCUUAAUUGAUCCCACUGGCAUCCAAAGGUGAGUAAGAUUUUAUGUUUUUUUUUAAUUCAAAACUUAUUAUAGAAACGUGUAAAAAAUGUUUAUAGUUACAUCAGCACAGGCAAAUGAUUAUAAUUUUCAAUUGAUUUUGAAUAAAGAAAUAUUUAAUAUGUCACAAUACACAUAUUUGAACUGAAAACACUAUUAUCCUCAGAUUGUUUUUCGCGCAUAUGCGUUGAUAUUGGCAAGUUUGGAUCAACUGCAUAACAGUUUGUUAUCCGUAGACUAGACUCUACAAAGUAAAUCACAUUACACAAACACUCGUCUACAAAAAACAAAAUACAUAAUAGAAGUAACAAAAAAAAAAAAAAAAAAAACGGAGGAUAUAGGGUAUUUAACGAUGACAAAAAAUCAGUACAUAUAAGUUUUUGUGAUAUUAAAUGGAUAUACAAAAGUGUUUACAUGAACCUAUUGUUUUACCUGUUUUUUGAACAAAGACAUUUAUUUUUCUGUAGAAGAUUUUGCUUAACACAUCUGACUUACAGUUGAGAAAGAUUAUGCAGUAUCUUAAUUAACCAUUGUUGUUCCUGCUUUAUAUAUCCUUCAUUAUAUGUCGGCAGUGACAAUAAUUGGUCGUUAUUACUCUUCCUGAACUUAAAAAUGAAAAAUGAUACGAUAGAAGGACGUUGGAGUUUGUAAUGGAACACACUGCAUGUCGGAUAGACCGCGACGGAGCCCAACUAUUGAGUGAUAUCGUAAAGUAAUUCUAACUUUCAUCAAAAGAAUGAUUACGACGACUUUCAUUAAUUUUACUGAAACAUUUAAAGGAAUAAAAAAAGAUAAUGAGCAUGCAAGAAUUAGGACCACAGAACAUCUCCAAUACACACUAGUGACUCACAGUCGGACAAUCGAGUGAAUGUUACAAGGAAUAUGAUGUUAAUUAUAAAUAUAUAAAACAUGGGACAUUCGAAUCGGUAAAUUGUGAUUACAUAUUAAAUCAUUAUCCAUACUGCCGACGUAUUCGGGACAAUAGUAUCAAUAGACCAAAGCGAAAUAUAUGUCAACUUGUGUUGAAAAUAGUUCUAAAAUAAACUCGAACUGAUUUAACUGGCAAAUAUGAAUGAUAAUCAAAAGCAAAAAAAUGUCUACCGUAUUCAAAUAAAAAAGGCGAUUUGGUAGUUGAAGCAAAGAUGUGAACUAAAGUACAUAUACAUACUCCAAUCAAGAUGCAUAAAUGACAGACGUAUAAAUGAGUGGUUUAGUUAGAUUCUUAAGAGCUUUCAUUGAGGGGUUUAUAAAAUGUUGGUGUUUGAGUGAAUGUAUUCUGAGAUGCAUUAUACACAUAACAGUAUUUACUUGGGUAAAAGCGGGAAGUUUAAAUCGGGAAUAGCUAAUGCCCAUGCUCCUUACAGUGGAUAAUACGUCAGAAUGUGCAUGCAUUUAACAAAAUGUGUAUGAUGCCGUGAUGCAAUUAUAUUACACCAUCAAAAAUAUAUUGCAGCUUAUAUAAUAUAUUUUGUUGCAUCAUUUAUUGACAGGGAAUUCAUAAACGCAAUACUUUGAAUUCGGUAAAUAAGUUCGCAAAACAGUCAAUGCAUACUGUUUUUUUUUUGGCUUACAUGUUCGAUUUUUAUAAAUUAUUAAAGUUCACAAAGAGUCAUGUGUUAAAACAAUCACAAAACGCUAAAAGCUAUUACGUAAACAUAUAAGCAUUUAAUGCAACAUAUAUUGAUUGUCUUUUAGGUAUAAUAAAUAAACAAAUAUCAAUCAUGAAUUGAACGGUGCAUUAUUAUAGAUACACGGUACCCUGAAUAACAUCGUCAUUCAUAGUAAGUGAGGAAACUUCCUUUAAAUUUCGAGGAAGAGGUUGUCAAACUAUCUACAACCGAAUAUACAUUUCUGUUGUUGGAGCAAGAUAGUACAGAUUCUAAGAAGAUAAUGAUUUAUUAGCGACUGUUAGUUUCGAUGCUUGAUGAAUUUUUUUGUUUCAAAAAGCGAGUACGAAUUUUCAAUUCUAAAUACUGUCAAAUCAAAAUCUUACGAAAUCUAUCACAAAAUAAAAUCAAUUCUUCAUGUU